rnacentral:rRNA from 1 species
UUAUAGUGUAUAUUAAAGUUGUUGCAGUUAAAAAGCUCGUAGUCUAACUUCUAGUGCUUCCCGCGACGCUUCACGGCGGCGCGGCCGAGGUGCUAUCUGUUCGAGAACUUCUUCUACCUUAACUGGUCGGAGAUGCUGAUCGGGCUCUUUCCUGAGAAAAAAUUAGAGUGUUUAAAGCAGGCUAAUGCAAUGAAUAUUACAGCUUGGAAUAAUAGAAUAAGACUGGAGUCUCUUUUGUUGGUUAUGAACUUUAGUAAUGGUUAAUAUAAACAGUCGGGGGUAUUAGUAUUUAAGUGUUAGAGGUGAAAUUCUAUGAUUACUUAAAGACUAACUUAUGCGAAAGCAUUUACCAAGGAUGUUUNCAUUGA